rnacentral:rRNA from 1 species
CCUACGGGAGGCAGCAGUGAGGAAUAUUGGUCAAUGGGCGCGAGCCUGAACCAGCCAAGUAGCGUGAAGGAUGACUGCCCUACGGGUUGUAAACUUCUUUUAUAAGGAAUAAAGUGAGGCACGUGGGCCUUUUUGUAUGUAAUUUAUGAAUAAGGAUCGGCCAACUCCGUGCCAGCAGCCGCGGUAAUACGGAGGAACCGAGCGUUAUCCGGAUUUAUUGGGUUUAAAGGGAGCGUAGAUGGGUUGGUAAGUCAGUUGUGAAAGUUUGCGGCUCAACCGUAAAAUUGCAAUUGAUACUGGCAGCCUUGAGUACAGUUGAGGUAGGCGGAAUUCGUGGUGUAGCGGUGAAAUGCUUAGAUAUCACGAAGAACUCCGAUGGCGAAGGCAGCUUACUAAACUGCAACUGACAUUGAUGCUCGAAAGUGUGGGUAUCAAACAGGAUUAGAUACCCUUGUAGUC